GACAACAACUUACACGUGUUGGGUCCAUGACUUCGUUCACGUUGUUUUCAAUUUUUUUUGAAUAAAUUGUGCACAAGGGGAGACCAUGUGUUUACUGUUCACAUCGAUGGUGGUAAUAUGGUCAUAUCACAAGUUUUGUUUGUUGAGCCAAGAUAUCCGUUGAUAAAAUCUAGCGUCAAAAAUUCAACUCUUGGCGUUUGUGGGGCUCGUAGUCAAAGACUUUGGGUUCUAAAUCUUUUGACUUAUUUGCAUUAGAGUCAGUGAACCAGUAAUAAGACAAUAAACUGUCUGAUAAUUGAGGAAACUAUCCAUUAAAUUGAAUUUGAUAGACUACGGUAAAACAAGGAAGAAACUAUGUGAUUUUCUCUUGGCAUCACUGGUAUAGACAUAGGAAGAUUAGUUUAAAAACAAAAAUUCUCUCUGAUUUGCAAUCUUUUCAAUAGUCAAUUUGCUUUUAUUACCAUCUCUGCAUUAGAAAAAAU